UCCGGUGGUCAUAGCAAAGAGGAUCCACCUGUUUCCAUUCCGAAUACAGAAGUGCCACUCUUUAGCGCUAGGGUACUGCAGUGGAGACGCUGUGGGAGAGUAAGACGCUGCCGGAA
rnacentral:rRNA from 1 species